rnacentral:tRNA from 3 species
GCCCCCAUAGUUUAACGGAUAAAACACUGGUUUCCUAAACCGUAGAUCGAGGUUCGAUUCCUCGUGGGGGCGCCA